UAGGGAAUUUUCGUCAAUGGGCGCAAGCCUGAACGAGCAAUGCCGCGUGAACGAGGAAGGUCUUCGGAUCGUAAAGUUCCUGUUGAAGGGGAAAAAGAGCGG
rnacentral:rRNA from 1 species